UGAGCAAUCUGCCCUUCUCUUUGGAAUAAGCGUUGGAAACGACGUCUAAUGCCGAAUACGACCUCCUUUCGCAUGAUCGGAGGUGGAAAGCUCCGGCGGAGAAGGAUGAGCUCGCGGCCUAUCAGCUUGUUGGUGUGGUAAUGGCCCACCAAGGCGACGACGGGUAGCCGGCCUGAGAGGGUGACCCGGCCACACGUGGGACUGAGACACGGCCCAGACCUCCCGUACGGGGAGGNACGCG
rnacentral:rRNA from 1 species